GACGAACGCUGGCGGCGUGCCUAACACAUGCAAGUCGAACGAGAAUCUUUGAACAGAACUUUUCGGAGUGACGUUCAAAGAGGAAAGUGGCGGACGGGCGAGUAACGCGUGAGUAACCUGCCCAUAAGAGGGGGAUAAUCCAUGGAAACGUGGACUAAUACCGCAUAUUGUAGUUAAGUUGCAUGACUUGAUUAUGAAAGAUUUAUCGCUUAUGGAUGGACUCGCGUCAGAUUAGAUAGUUGGUGAGGUAACGGCUCACCAAGUCAACGAUCUGUAGCCGAACUGAGAGGUUGAUCGGCCGCAUUGGGACUGAGACACGGCCCAGACUCCUACGGGAGGCAGCAGUGGGGAAUAUUGCGCAAUGGGGGCAACCCUGACGCAGCAACGCCGCGUGCAGGAAGAAGGUCUUCGGAUUGUAAACUGUUGUCGCAAGGGAAGAAGACAGUGACGGUACCUUGUGAGAAAGUCACGGCUA
rnacentral:rRNA from 1 species